CGCCGAAGUCUGUAUGGAAUUACCUGCGCCCGCCGCGGAGCUGGCACCGGUGGAUGGAUGGGCGCCGCGUCCGCGGCACCGGCGGCCAGCUCAGCCCCAGGAGUAAACACGGGGCUUCUCCGGCCGAGUGCGCAGUGUGGUGACCGGCGCUCGCCCCGCUGACCGAUCGCACCGGAGGGAUAUUUUCGGGAGGCUCCUGUGGGAAGCAACCACGGAAAGACAGAAAAUGAAAGCUCCUAUUCCCAACUUGAUUCUCUUGUAUGCUACUCUGACUCAGAGCUUGAAGGUCGUGACCAAAAGGGGAUCAGGCAUUUAUCUGCUGCAUAUCCAAAAACUUAUCCGAACACUGAGGAAACAGAGUAGAAGGCACUGAAGUUAAUCAAAUAAGCA
rnacentral:lncRNA from 1 species